UGACCUUAAGCAAAGCCCCUUAACCUCCCUGAGCCUAUAAAAUGGAAAUAAUAAUCCAUUUAGCAUUGGAUUGUAAUAAGGAUUAACUGAAAUAAUUUCAUAAAGCAAUGAGCACAGGGCCUGGCACGUGCUCAAUAAAUUGUUGAGUAAUUUGUUGCUGUUAAUUUUAUUAUUAUUAUAGAAGGCUCUCUUUUGAAAAAAAAUCCAGGUGGAACAGGGCCUAAAGACGUAUUCUUGAUGAGGAGGAUGGUAUGAAAAUCAGUAGGAAUUGUCAAAGCCCAACUUAGCCCACAGCAGUGUCCCUUGCUCUUUCCUUCUCGUCUUCUCUCCUAUUCUCAUGAAAGCUACUUUCUGUGUUUCAUCACACUCGUAACUCUUGGUAUGGAAAAACCCAGCUGAACCGCUUUCUAAAACCCUAAUUAAAAUCUUGUUAAAAAUCUUCCAAAUACACAUCACUCUUUCUUGACUUAAUUAAUUAAACAUAGAAUAUAAAAAUCUGGACCUUCUGAUUUAGGAUUUUGCAAAGGUCCUAGGCUAUUACUGAAAAUAUCAGUAAUCACUGUAACAUACCAUAUAUUUAUUUCCAAAACUAAAUCUCUGAUAGCAACUUAAUUUGCUGUCAUUAGCCUUUCACAAAAUUGAGUGUGGCAUCAAUUCCAGUUUGCAAAAAGUUCUGGCUAGUAAAACUCGACUGUAAAAGUCCCCUCUCUUUGACAAUGGUGACAUCUAAGGAAAAGAAUAAGUACAACCUCUUCAUUUGAUAUCCUUAAAUGUUCUCUCAGGGUAGACAUGAAGAAUCACCGUGCAGAAACUGAUUCUAUUUCAAAUGUACACGUUCCAUUCAGCAACCGGUCUUAACUACCAACAGAAGCAGGAGAGGUUCUAAAACGCCUAUCUUUUAAAAAAAGUGAAGACUAGCCAAGCCCUCUGUGACAAGAACCUGACUAAUGUCAGUGUGUGGAUUCCAGUUAUGGCCUGGAUUGCUGGACAAGGUACUAUCAUCUUGAAUCUAAAAGUACACCACACUACUUAGAUCCCAAAUAAUUGAGAGUUUGGUUGUUGGUUUUAAUUUUCCUUGGCUCCUUCCUCACGCGUGGUGGAGGUGGUGGGAAAGGUUAGGGCGGGCUUGGAAAAGAAGGAGAGUGUGUCCCCUAGAGCAGCAAUAAAGGUCUGCAGAGCAAUCCUCUCAACUAUAAAAAACUCUUCCUUCCCAAAAAGUGCAAUCUGGUUUGGGAAACCGACAUUAAUUCAACAAAACACUACAAAAAAAUGUAGCUCUUAUUACACGCUAGCACUGUUCUACAAGCUAGAGAUACAAAGACAGACAAAAAGAUGCUAAAGAUACAAAGUUCACAGCCCCAAGAGCUUAAGUCUAGUGGGAGGAACAAACCUGUAUUCAACCACAACACAGUGAACAAUAGCUGAGUAACAGAUGGAGCUCAAACAGAGCAGGUACAACUCGGGGCAGGAAGACUACAGAAGCGCUAACAGGCUGCCUACAGGAUGCAGGUGGCCCAUUCCGAGGUUAAGUAUUUUUUUAAGGAAAAACUCAACUUCCGGACUAAAAACCCUAAGUUCUGAACGUGAGGGCUUUUAUGUUAAGGUUCUUAUACAUUAUACACACACACAAUAAUAACCCCCCCCACAGGGAAAUUAGCUCAUUUUCAGAACAUGAUUCACCAUCAUUCACACCUGCUCAAUUUAAGACCCUCCCCAAACAGGCAUUACAGUGAAGACAAUGUGGCAGCAACCGUGCAAAACCUAGGACAAAGAGACUUCUGUUGCUUUAUGAACAAUAUAAAGCAGUACGCAUACUUCUGGAUGUAUUUAAUUAUUAGACUGUCAGUCCUUUUUACACUGUGUUAAGAUGGAUACUGAAUGCAGAAUAAAGCCCUAAACACUUGCAGUUUUCAUAUUUAAAUCAGGAAAAAAUCUCCAAUUUACAAAGGCUAAUGUCUAUUUUUGGAAAACAAACGAAAAUUACACAUUUGGAUUUACAGAUUUCUGCUAUCCAUUCAUGUCAGGAUCCCCAAAGCCACCUUUAUUCCACAACUAACUUUCCACCCUUUCUUUCUAAGGGCAUACCAAGUUUUUUUUUUUUUAAGGUUAUAGCUUUCGAAAACUGGAAAUAGAAAUUUUUAACCGCCCAACAGUUGGAAAAGGUUCUCAUACUACCCUUUGACAUUUCCAAUUUAUCACUGUAUUUAAUACUUUUUUUUUUUUGUACCAUCCAACACCCUUCAUCUAACAAGGUCCAAGGCUUCCUGAACACUGCUUUGUAAGCUGCCUCGCAGACAAACCCUGUGAAACCUGAGGUCGCCACACCAGCGGCAGGAUGCAGGUCACUGGACCACGGCAGCCCACUCUGCAGUCAACAGUGCGGGUCACUUUACGCUGACAGAGCUGCUCUCCAGCACCUCCCCCGGCACACACACACCCAAAGCACAGGAGAGUGUCCAUUUCACAAGGUGUCCGGCACUGCUUUCCUUAAAACGAAGCUUCUAUCUGGAAGGUCACCUUGGUCCCCGCGCGGCUCGGGACCGAGCGCCUGGGCUCUGUGACAUCAGCGUUGGCUUCUCAACCGCUGACCUUCAGGCCCCAGAGCUUGGCCCGACCCUAGAACGGCCACCGCCCUUCACACCGCGGAGGGCGGCGUCCCUCCCACCGCCGCGCCGAAUUCGGGCUUGGCGACUCGCUGGGGGGUCCCGGGCGCCCCCCACCCGCCCCGACGGCCAAGCGCCCGGAGCCCGCCCCACGGCCGCCCCUGAGGGCUGUCGUCCCGACAGGCUCGGUCCACUCCGCCCGCCGAGCCCUCGCCGAGCCCCGCUGCUGUGCUGACUUCAGCCCACAUCGCACCCCAGCCACCAGGGAACUUUCCAGAACGUUGGCCCUCUCUGGGAAGUCCCGAGUCGCCAUCCAGGAGGGAGCGCCCACGGGAGGCCUGGCGGGCUCGGGGCCGGGCCGCACGCGGAGCGCAACCUUCGGGCCCAGCCUCCGGAAGCGCGCGCGCCCCAGCACUAUUCAGUCGCCGCGGGGCGCCACCCCUCGGGCCGGGCCCGCCGCUCCAGGGGCACCGACGGCGGCGCAGCAAGACACGGGAGAGCACCGCGCCCCCAGCUCGCCAGGAGCCCCCUGCCCGCCUCGACCUCGCCCGACCCCCCAGAGGCAGCCCGAGCUAAAAUUAGCGCCGAGCCCGCCGCGCGCUCACGUGCGCCCCGCGGGACGGGGUGCGGGUGAGUCACGGCCCCGCCCCCCUCGCCGAGGACGCGCUGACGUCAGCCGCUUCCCCGAAGGAUGACGUCAGCGCGCCUCGGGGAGGCCGCGAGGCCUCCGUAGAACGUUCACUGAGUUUCGAUGUCUUAAAGGGACCAGGCCUUGGAUCGUGAAAGAUCUAGAGCGAUGACUGCUCUCGCUCACCCGUGGAGGCAGAACUUGUCUUAUAUCUCUUUGUCCGGAGAAGUGUUGGCUAAGAUGAUGUUGAAAAAAAGAAGAGCACCUGAACCUCAUUGGAAGCUCCCCGAAGCCUCAGAACCUCCUCCUGGAAGCCCUCUGUGAUUAACCAGAAUCUCAUCCUUACUCAAAAGUCAGGAAGUUUUCUAUGGCCCUUGACUCCCUACCCCUUCACUUCCAGCUGCUCCCCAUAUGCUUAUAUCUCUGCUCGUAGAGAAAGGCUGUGCUUUGAAUGUUUAUGUAUAUAAUCCAUCAAUUUAGGGCAGCUUGGCCCAUUUAUCUGUGUCCGAACUCUGCCAUUAGUCAUGUGACCUGCAGCAAGUUAUUUAACUCUGGGUCUGAAAUUCCUGAACUGGUCCCCAAACCCUCCUCUUAUGCUAAUACUGCCUGCGAAAUUUCCAGAGGUUCGAUCUUACAGCUGGAUCUUUCAGCCCUGUCGCAAUAGCCUCACAGGGAGCUAACAAUUUACUGAGGUGUAAACUAUGUGGCAGGUGUUUUCAUUAUCCUCUUUGUCCCCCUCGUUUAACCCUAUCGCCCGCCCCUCUGAGGUUGAUAUUAAUUGCCCCAUUUUACUGACAAAGAAGGAAAUCUAAAUGUGUUUCCCUAGGUUACACAGCUAAAGAAUGGCAAACAGGAAGUCAUUCCCAGGUCAGCUGGACUCUGAGUCUGUGUUUUGGUGACGAAGAUGGGCUAUGAAAUCUAUGUCUUAUUCGGGGUUUUCUGGAGCCUGUGACCAAACCCCUGGUGUGUGUUCCCACCACAACCUCAGGAGGAGAUGGAGAAAACCACAGACGGCCUCAGCCGUGAGGUUUUGACUUUUUAUCUCCCAGCCUUCACUUCCCAUCAUCUUCCUAUCUCAGAAGCCCCAUUUAAUGUUGUUAAGAGCCGUAAAUGUAACUGGCCACUAAUGUGGAAGGAUUGUGAUCUCCAGCAAACGGCCCCAGCAAAGAAAGGAGCAGGAAUCCUGGGUCUGUUCCCAACCGUGCCAGUGACUCACUGGAUGACACAAAGUAAUGUGGUUCUUUUGUUGGGGGGCGAGAUGUGGGAAGACGACGCACACAGCUGCUCGCCUGACAGAGGUGAAAGGGUGGAGGAGAAGCCAUUUGACAGGCUCCCAGCAUAGUGGAGGCUCUGGGGUCCCUGGGUGAAUCCAGUUCCAUAGUAACUGCUUAGCAAUGGCCGGCUGGGUCAGCCCUGAGCUCUGGCCCACUUGAGCCCCUGCCUCCGAUGGAGCCGCUAAGAUGGCGUGGGCUGGAUUAUGGCACUUACCCUUCAUGACAUCAUUCUCAUUGGUUAGGAAUGCGCCCUGGUUGUUCCUAACUCCACUUUAAUAACUUGUUAUAGAUCUGCCCUCCAGGAAUUUGUUUGAAACUUUCUUUAAUCUAUUUAUAUUUCAGCCUGUGCAGCCUUUUCAGGCGGCAAGUAGACUGACCAUUUAUGUAAAAGCACUUAGGUCCUAAAACACAGAAAGUGCUAUAUUAGGGUUCUUAUCAUAAUAAAACGUUUGUAAUUAUAAUGUAUUUAAUAAUGAUAUUAUAAUUUGAUGAUAACAGUGAAUUCAGGUGGUCUCACAGGCUUAUUUUUAGUCACUCACUCUGUUUGUCUUUGUCUUUAUCUCCCCACGCACCACUCCCUAGCCAUCAAAAAGUAUUUAUUAAUGGAGUGAGGGGCUGUCAUGGGUAUAACAAUGCAUGCAAACUUAGAUAAACACAUUCAGUGUCCUCUAAAGACUUACCAUCUACCACCAACAUACAGUAGGUGCUCAAUAAAUACUUGUUGGGCGAAUGGAUGGAUGGAAGGAAUUAAAAAAACCUGCGUGGUAACUGGUGAGACAUAUUAGGAAUGACUAUUUUGGGGGUUGGAGAGCAAACCUGAGAGCAUCAUGGGCAAGGAGGGAAAAGGGAACAUCCUGACUUUCUGGUCAAUGCGCACGUGUGGGCUCUCCUCAGAUUGGCCCUAGAGCUCAUCCUGGAGGAAGCGCUGGUUUCCAGGCUGCUGAAAUGAUGCCUAGAGGAGGCAGGCCAAGGGGCACCCCCAUGGCAGGUGCCAUAUGGGUUGCAGGAGUGAGGAGGCAGGUACGGGGUCCAGAAGAGAAAGACCGGUCCCUGUGGCUAUCUCUAUUUUCAGUAGGAACCACACCGGAAUGUUUUAAAAAUCCAAUGACUCAGUAGGUGAAUGGCCAAAUAAAUUGUGGUACAUCCAAACAAUGGAAUAUUAUUCAAUGCCAAAAAGAAAUGAGCUAUCAAGCCAUGAA